rnacentral:snoRNA from 1 species
AAGCAACACUCUGUGGCAGAUGAACAAAACUGUCUGACACAAUUUGAGCAAGAAAGUCUAACCUAUUCUGGUGUUCUCUUCCCCAUGAGACACCUUGUUAUAUAGACUUAAACUAU